rnacentral:rRNA from 1 species
UACGUAGGAUCCGAGCGUUAUCCGGAUUUAUUGGGUUUAAAGGGUGCGCAGGCGGGAGAUUAAGUCGGCGGUGAAAUUUUGCAGCUCAACUGUAAAAGUGCCUUCGAAACUGGUUUCCUUGAGUGUGGAUGAAGUAGGCGGAAUUUGGGGUGUAGCGGUGAAAUGCAUAGAUAUCACGAGGAACUCCGAUUGCGCAGGCAGCUUACUAAACCAUAACUGACGCUCAGGCACGAAGGCGUGGGGAUCAAACAGGAUUAGAUACCCUGGUAGU